rnacentral:lncRNA from 1 species
AUCUAUGAUAUGAUAUGUUGCAUAUAAAAUCUAAAAAAUACUAAAAAUAAAAUCAACAUGCAUGCAUGUGUGCAAUAGAUCACAUCUACUUCUAAUCUGAGUUCAGAACUCGAUAUCUGAGCAUAGGUCAAUAAUUACUACUAUAGAGAGAUAUAGUAGAGAGGGUCCUCAUUGGUUGCUCGUAGUCGCAUACAUGUCUGA